CUACUGGAAACGGUAGCUAAUACCGCAUAACGUCGCAAGACCAAAGAGGGGGACCUUAGGGCCUCUUGCCAUCGGAUGUGCCCAGAUGGGAUUAGCUUGUUGGUGAGGUAACGGCUCACCAAGGCGACGAUCCCUAGCUGGUCUGAGAGGAUGACCAGCCACACUGGAACUGAGACACGGUCCAGACUCCUACGGGAGGCAGCAGUGGGGAAUAUUGCACAAUGGGCGCAAGCCUGAUGCAGCC
rnacentral:rRNA from 1 species